rnacentral:rRNA from 1 species
CGCCUUUUGAACUUUAAACAUAAAAGGUCCUGCCUGCCCAGUGACACUUGUUUCAACGGCCGCGGUAUCAUGACCGUGCAAAGGUAGCGUAAUCACUUGUCUUUUAAAUAAAGACCAGUAUGAAUGGCAAGACGAAAGCCUAACUGUCUCCCCGGGUUAGUCAAUGAAAUUGAUUUUCCCGUGCAGAAGCGGGAAUAUUAAUAUAAGACGAGAAGACCCUGUGGAGCUUCAAACUUAAGCUAACAAACCAUAUAAUGCCUUAGCACCUAGUUUUAGGUUGGGGCGACCGUGAGGUAAAGCACAACCCUCAAGACAUUAAACUAAGAAGGACACUUCAAAACAACUAACGUAAUUUGACCCAAUAAUUGAUCAACGAACCAAGUUACCCCAGGGAUAACAGCGCAAUCUACUCAAAGAGCCCCUAUCGACGAGCAGGUUUACGACCUCGAUGUUGGAUCAGGACCCCCAAAUAAUGCAACAAUUAUUAAAGGUUCGUUUGUUCAACGAUUAAAGUCCU